CCUACGGGUGGCUGCAGUGAGGAAUAUUGGUCAAUGGGCGCGAGCCUGAACCAGCCAAGUAGCGUGAAGGAUGAAUGCACUGCGGAUUGUAAACUUCUUUUGUAAAGGAAUAAAGUGUGGCACGGGUGCCUUUUUGUAUGUACUUGAUGAAAAAGAAUCGGCUAACUCCGUGCCAGCAGCCGCGGUAAUACGGAGGAUCCGAGCGUUAUCCGGAUUUAUUGGGUUUAAAGGGAGCGUAGAUGGGUUGUUAAGUCAGUUGUGAAAGGUUGUGGCUCAACCGGAAAAAUGCAAUGGAUACUGGCAGUCUUGAGGACAGUUGAGGUAGGCGGAAUUCGCGGUGUAGCGGUGAAAUGCUUAGAUAUCACGAAGAACUCCGAUUGCGAAGGCAGCUUACUAACCCGCCACUGACAUUGAUGCUCGAAAGUGUGGGUAUCAAACAGGAUUAGAUACCCCAGUAGUC
rnacentral:rRNA from 1 species